CAGAGGAGGGAGACACAGGGCCUGACAGAUUGGAGACGGAUGGGAGCUACGAAUUUGGACUGAGUGAGAGAAAGAUUUUGCUAGCUCCUCUGCCAGGAUCUAUGGGAUUUUCUCUCAUUUUAGAGAGAGAGAUGGACAGGGAGAGAGAUACAGAGCGGAAAGCAUGGGUGUAUGUAUUCUUUAGGGUUGACAGGUUACGCACAGAGUCGGUGAGGAGGGGAUGCCUCAGGGACGAAUGGCAGGGUCUGACCUUCAUUUCUGUAGCUCGAGAGCUUCAGUGAGAUGAAGGAGAGGAGCAGGGAGAUGGGCUCGAGUCGGCGAACGGCCGAAGAGAUCUUCAGGGAUUACAGUGGUCGGAGAACCGAUGCCGUCCACGACUUAACUAACGAGACAGAGGUCGAGCAAGGUUUCGUCCAUUUCGAUCAACUUGGGCUACCCCCAACGUUCGGUAAGAUCCCUUGCCGAUCUCUUCUCUCACCUAUGUCGUCUUACUCCACCGUUCACGUCAGGAAGGCCCGUGCGUGGUUUUUUGGGUGGGGAUUUCAGAUUUCAAGGGGGAGAGAGGCUGUGCUUCGUUUCAAUCGGGCCAAGCCUCUAUCUGUAAAUCGAGGCCCCGUUGAAGCAUAAGCAUUACAGGCCUGCAGUAAAUUCUAGGGAAAGAAGAAGGAAGGAAAUGCCGUGAGGUACGUCACCAGGUCACAAGUUGUCAAGCAGCUUCAAGUCAGUCUUCCCCUCUUCAGGAAAUUGUGUAUUCUAAAGGGCGUGUUCCCUUGGGAGCUGAAGAAAAAGGUGAAAGGAAAUCACCAUACCUAUUAUCACUUGAAGGAUGUUUCUUUCAUUCAGCAUGAACCGCUACUCGAGCAGUUGAGAGGGAUAAGAGCAUACGAAAGAAAAGUAAAGAGAGCCGAUGCGAAGAAGAACAAGGAAUGAGCUGCUCUCCUGAAAGAAAGAAGACCCACUUACAAAUUAGAUGGAAUUAUUUUGCAGAGAUAUCCAAAAUUCGUUGAUGCACUUAGAGAUAUAGAUGACUGCCUCAGCUAUUGAGGACAGAAUUAAUGUCAAAUGCAUUCAUAACUGUCGAAGGUUGAGUCAUGAAUGGCAAGCUUACAUAUCUUGGACUCAUAAAUUGCGUAAAGUCUUUGUAUCUGUUGAAGGCAUAUAUUAUCAGGCAGAGGUUAAGGGGAAAAAAGUCAGAUGGUUGACUCCUCACCCUUUGCACCAAGUUUUGACUGAUGAUAUUGAUUAUAUUUCGUACUUUGUAUUUCUUUUUGUCCGUUAUCAACCUCUGUUCGAUUCCAGAGUGGGAGUUUGAUAAAGAAUGUGACUUUAAGAUGACAGAGUUUUUGAAAUUGUGUUGUGGCCAUGUGUGAAGCUAAAUGAUGCAACCUUUGAUCUCUCCCAUUUGAAUAAAGCUAAAUUUUUGUAUUAAAAUGUUAUAAUAUUCAAAUGUAUACUAAGUUUCUCGGUAGCCAAAACAGACCCUUUACAUGAUUUUGUCUAGAAUUCGUUUAAAGAUUUAAAAUUUCUCUUCACUCUGUUAAUGGGUUUGAUUUUUCCCCAUCUGUUUUGCAGUUUGAAUCUACUGAGUUCUGCGGAUUCACUCAAUUGCAAUCAUCUCUUCUGCAAUGUUUGCUUAUUUUUUACAGCACUUGCACCGUGAAGUCAAUGAAAUCGAGUUCCAUUUGACCAGUUUAUAAAAUUCCAUAUCGACGCAGAGGCACUGGGAAGACGACUCUGUCUACGGAUCAUAAUCGGUAUCUAAUUGGAUUUGAUGAGCACUGCUGGAGCAACAAUGGUGUGUCAAACAUUGAAGGUGGUUGCUAUGCCAAGUGCAUUGAUUUGUCAAAGAACUGGGAACCAGAUAUUUGGAAUGCUAUCAAAUUUGGGACUGUUUUGGAGAAUGUUGUGUUCGAUGACCAUAAUCGAGAAGUUGAUUACUCAGAGAAAUCUGUUACUGGUUGUGAUUGAGGGAGCUUGAAAUGGUAGUUGGAUUUCAUCGUCGUUGUUUAACAAGAAGCUAAAGCGUAAUCAAAGGAUUUGUUGACCUAUUGUGGAAGAUUCUCAUUCAGUUGCUGUUUUAAAUUUGGGCUUCCGUUUGGUUGAGCAUCCUUUUCUCCAAAAGGGGAUGGACUGAAGUCCCCGGCAGCAAUCUCUUUGUGAUCAUUGCUGGGAUAAUAUCGUGGUCAUUUUGAGUUCGGAUUCAGCUAGCAUGUGAUCUGUGCAAGCUAUCCAUAUAUGGAUCAAUGCUAUGGACUCUUCUCAACCUAUGGACCUCAAAUUUCAGUGCGUCUUCCAUCAUUUAUCCUACCUGACUAUGUAUGGAGCUAUUAAAUUUGCAAUCAUAUUAAUUCCUUGAAAACAAUAUUUAUAUUUCUCUGUAAACUGUUGAUUUUGGAAUAUACUAUCGUUUCCUUGCUGGUACAUUAAAAUGAAAAUAUGAAAAGUAGUCUCAAUCUUCUGAGGGAGAGAGGUGUUUGGUGUCUGAGACAAGGGGUUUCAGGCUAGGGAACCAAAACGUUCAGUUUUGUCCUAUUCAUUGUACAAUGUCUUUUCAUAUCAGCUCAGUUGAAUAUAUAUAAAAACGAAGCUGCAUAUCUUACCGACUUCA